UUUCCGUAGGUGAACCUGCGGAAGGAUCAUUAUUGAAUAAACCUGAUGUGGUUGUAGCUGGCCCUUUCGGGAGCAUGUGCACACCCGUCGUCUUUAUCUUUCCACCUGUGCACCUUUUGUAGACCUGGAUGUAACACUUUCCGAGGCAACUCGGUCGGGAGGAAUGCUGUCAGCUUUCCUUGAAUGUCCAGGCCUAUGUUUCCAUAUACCCCAAAGAAUGUAACAGAAUGUAUUAUCGGGCCUUGUGCCUAUAAACUAUAUACAACUUUCAGCAACGGAUCUCUUGGCUCUC
rnacentral:misc_RNA from 1 species